UUGAUGAUGGUGGUUCAUGACACUUAGGUUUCAAGGAUGAAAGGUUGGAUCAUGGGAAAUCAUUUCCUGGAGAUGGUAAUGGUAAUUUUUCUAUUGGCAGGCAGAAUUGGAACAUGAAAUUUAAGGAAGCUACCUCUGCUGCUCAAGUAGCGGCUGAGUUUGCAGAACAUGCAAGUCUAGCUGCCACAGAUGUUGUAGAACUUUCAAGGCAAUAUUGUGUUGAUGAUGGUGGUUCAUGCCACGUAUGUUUCAAGGAUGAAAGGUUGGAACAUAGGCAAACAUUUCCUGGAGAUGGUAAUGGUAAUUUUUCUAUUGGUAGGCAGAAUUGGAACAUGAAAUUUAAGGAGGCUACCUCUGCUGCUCAAGCAGCAGCGGAGUUUGCAGAACAUCCAAGCCUAGCUGCCAGUGAUGUUGUAGAACUUUCAAGGUAAUAUUGUAUUGAUGAUAGUGGUUCAUGCCACUUAGGUUUCAAGGAUGAAAGGUUGGAACAUAAGCAAGCAUU
rnacentral:lncRNA from 1 species